rnacentral:rRNA from 1 species
UACAGAGGUCCCGAGCGUUGUUCGGAUUCAUUGGGCGUAAAGGGUGCGUAGGCGGUCUGCUAAGUUUGAUGUGAAAUCCCGGGGCUCAACCCUGGAAUUGCAUUGAAUACUGGUGGACUAGAGUACUGGAGAGGAAACUGGAAUUUACGGUGUAGCAGUGAAAUGCGUAGAGAUCGUAAGGAAGACCAGUGGCGAAGGCGAGUUUCUGGACAGUAACUGACGCUGAGGCACGAGGGCCAGGGGAGCAAACGGG